rfam:Vibrio tubiashii ATCC 19109 chromosome 1, complete sequence.
UCAUCACCAUCAUCACCCAGUUUAGUCUUUCGGGAGAUGCACGCAUACCCGGGAGACAGGAAACUCCCGGAGGCUAAAAUCGCAAACUACAAGAUUUAGAACCCUCGGGAGAACAACUCUUCCGAGGGUUUUUCAGU